CACACUGCCACUGGGUGAUGCACAUGUGGGACAGAUCUGAAUAGCUCUGCAAAGGUUUUUGAAAACUGAACUAACAUUGAAACCACAGCCUACAGAAGAUGGAAUAGACCUUGUGGCCUGAACCUAAUCAGGUCAAUUCCUUACCAAAAUAAAUAUAUCAACAUUUUCCAAAGGAUUUUUAAAAGACUCAGAGUCUGAAAACCUGGUAUCCCAGCCCAAAAUUACUCAGCAUAUAAGAACCAGGAAAAUCUCAAUUCUUAUGAGAAAAGAUGACUGUCAUCAACUUUGACAUGACACACAUGCAGGAAUUAUCUGACAAAGACUUUAAAUCAGUUAAAAGUAUUCUAACAAGCAAUUGAAAGAAUCCCUAAAAUUAAAAGAAAAAUAGAGGGACUCAGCAAUGAUGUGUAAAAAAGAAUCAAAUGGAAAUAUUAGAACUGAAAAAUAUAAUAACUGAAAUUUAGAGGUCACUGAAUGAGCUCAAAAGCAUAAUGGAGACGAUAGGUGAGACUGUCAGUGAAACUGAAAAUAGAUGAAUAGAAAUUAUCCAAUCUGGGAAAUAAAGAGAAAAAAAGACUUAAAACAAAUGAACAGAGUCUCAGAGAUCUGUGGGAAAAUAACAAAAGAUAUAACAUUCUUGUCAUCAGAGUCCCAGAUGGACAGCAGAAAGAAUUAAGUGCUGAAAAUAUAUAUUUCAAGAGAUAAUGUCCUAAUUUUUCCUUAAUUUGACAAACCACAUAAGCCUACAGAUUCAAGAAGCUUAACAAAUCCUAAACAGGAUAAAUCCAAAGAAAUUCCAUUCUCAGACCAAUCAUAAUCAAACUGUUGAAAACUAAAGACAAAGAAAAAUAUUGAAAUCUACCGGAAAAAGAUGACACAUUGCCUGUAGGGGAAGAACAAUUUGAAUGGCUGUGAAUUUUCAACCAGAAACUAAGGAAGGAAGUGGUGUGAUAUUUUUCAGUUGCUGAAACAAAAGAACUGUCAAUCUGAAAUUUUAUAUUUAGUUAAAAAAGACCUUUAUAAAUGAAAUGAAGGUAAAGUGAAGGUGUUCUCAGAUGAAAAAAACCUAAGACAAUUUGUUGUUAGCAGAUCUGCUGUAAAGCAAUUGUUAAAGGAAGUUCUUGAAGAAAGAAGGGAGAUGAUACCAGAAAGAAUAUGGUACAUCAGGGACAACAAGCAAGAGAAAUGGAAAUAGAAGAAGAGGAAACAAUUUUUGGUGUCCAACAUCACCCUGAUACCGAAGUAGAAAAAGACAGUAUGGAAAAGAAAACUGUAGACAAAUAUCCUUCUUGAGGGCUGACCCCAUGGCCUAGUGAUUAAGUUCAGUGCACGCCACUUCAGUGGCCCAGGUUCAUAUCCCAGGCACAGACCUAUACCACUGAUUGGUGGCCAUGCUGUGGCAGCAACCCACAUACAAAAUAGAGGAAGAUUUGCACAGAUGUUUGCUCAGGGUGAAUUUUCCUCAAG
rnacentral:lncRNA from 1 species